UUCUGGGAGGAUUGACAGAUUGAGAGCUCUUUCUUGAUUCGGUGAGAAGUGGUGCAUGUCCGUUCUUAGUUGGUGGAGCGAUUUGUGUGGUCAAUUCUGAUAACGAACGAGACUCUAGUCGAAUAAAUAGGUGCGUGGUUUCCUAAACCUUGCACCUUUCUUAGAGGGACAAGAGGCUCCUAGCCGCACGAAACAGAGCAAUAACAGGUCUGUGAUGCCCUUAGAU
rnacentral:rRNA from 1 species